UACGGGGGGGGCAAGCGUUGUUCGGAAUUACUGGGCGUAAAGGGCUCGUAGGUGGCCAACUAAGUCAGACGUGGAAUCCCCAGGCUCAACUUGGGAACUGCGUCUGAUACUGGAUGGCUUGAAUUCGGGAGAGGGAUGCAGAAUUCCAGGUGUAGCGGUGAAAUGCGUAGAUAUCUGGAGGAAUACCGGUGGCGAAGGCGGCAUCCUGGACCGAGAUUGACACUGAUGAGCGAAAGCUAGGGGAGCAAACGGG
rnacentral:rRNA from 1 species